UAAGAAUAUUCCGCAAUGGACGGAAGUCUGACGGAGCGACGCCGCGUGGAUGAAGAAGGCUGAAAAGUUGUAAAAUCCUUUUGUUGAUGAAGAAUAAGGGUGAGAGGGAAUGCUCAUCUGAUGACGGUAAUCGACGAAUAAGCCCCGGCUAAUUACGUGCCAGCAGCCGCGGUAACACGUAAGGGGCGAGCGUUGUUCGGAAUUAUUGGGCGUAAAGGGCAUGUAGGCGGUUAUGUAAGCCUGAUGUGAAAUCCUGGGGCUUAACCCUAGAAUAGCAUUGGGUACUGUGUAACUUGAAUUACGGAAGGGAAACUGGAAUUCCAAGUGUAGGGGUGGAAUCUGUAGAUAUUUGGAAGAACACCGGUGGCGAAGGCGGGUUUCUGGCCGAUAAUUGACGCUGAGAUGCGAAAGUGUGGGGAUCGAACAGGAUUAGAUACCCUGGUAGUCCACACCGUAAACGAUGUACACUAGGUGUUGGGGCAAGAGCUUCAGUGCCAAAGCAAACGCGAUAAGUGUACCGCCUGGGGAGUAUGCCCGCAAGGGUA
rnacentral:rRNA from 1 species